CCUACGGGUGGCAGCAGUGGGGAAUAUUGGACAAUGGGCGAAAGCCUGAUCCAGCCAUGCCGCGUGUGUGAAGAAGGCCUUCGGGUUGUAAAGCACUUUCAGUGGGGAAGAAAGCCUUGGGGCUAAUACCCUCGAGGAAGGACAUCACCCACAGAAGAAGCACCGGCUAACUCCGUGCCAGCAGCCGCGGUAAUACGGAGGGUGCGAGCGUUAAUCAGAAUUACUGGGCGUAAAGCGCGCGUAGGCGGUCUGAUAAGCCGGUUGUGAAAGCCCCGGGCUCAACCUGGGAACGGCAUCCGGAACUGUCAGGCUAGAGUGCAGGAGAGGAAGGUAGAAUUCCCGGUGUAGCGGUGAAAUGCGUAGAGAUCGGGAGGAAUACCAGUGGCGAAGGCGGCCUUCUGGACUGACACUGACGCUGAGGUGCGAAAGCGUGGGUAGCAAACAGGAUUAGAUACCCCGGUAGUC
rnacentral:rRNA from 1 species